UAGGGAAUCUUCGGCAAUGGGGGCAACCCUGACCGAGCAACGCCGCGUGAGUGAAGAAGGUUUUCGGAUCGUAAAGCUCUGUUGUAAGAGAAGAACGAGUGUGAGAGUGGAAAGUUCACACUGUGACGGUAUCUUACCAGAAAGGGACGGCUAACUACGUGCCAGCAGCCGCGGUAAUACGUAGGUCCCGAGCGUUGUCCGGAUUUAUUGGGCGUAAAGCGAGCGCAGGCGGUUAGAUAAGUCUGAAGUUAAAGGCUGUGGCUUAACCAUAGUACGCUUUGGAAACUGUUUAACUUGAGUGCAAGAGGGGAGAGUGGAAUUCCAUGUGUAGCGGUGAAAUGCGUAGAUAUAUGGAGGAACACCGGUGGCGAAAGCGGCUCUCUGGCUUGUAACUGACGCUGAGGCUCGAAAGCGUGGGGAGCAAACAGGAUUAGAUACCCUGGUAGUCCACGCCGUAACGAUGAGUGCUAGGUGUUAGACCCUUUCCGGGGUUUAGUGCCGCAGCUAACGCAUUAAGCACUCCGCCUGGGGAGUACGACCGCAAGGUUG
rnacentral:rRNA from 1 species